CAGCAGCCGCGGUAAUACGAAGGGUGCAAGCGUUAAUCGGAAUUACUGGGCGUAAAGCGUGCGUAGGCGGUUCGUUAAGUCUGUUGUGAAAUCCCCGGGCUCAACCUGGGAAUGGCAAUGGAUACUGGCAAGCUAGAGUGUGUCAGAGGAUGGUGGAAUUCCCGGUGUAGCGGUGAAAUGCGUAGAGAUCGGGAGGAACAUCAGUGGCGAAGGCGGCCAUCUGGGACAACACUGACGCUGAGGCACGAAAGCGUGGGGAGCAAGCAGGAUUAGAUACCCCCGUAGUCCCUGUCUCUUAUAC
rnacentral:rRNA from 1 species